GGGUCAGUAGGUUGGUCGUGCCACCGGUACGUACUGGUCUCACUGACUCCUCCUUCCUGAAGAACCGUAAUGCCAUUAAUUUGGUGUUGCGGGGAAACAGGACUGUUACUUUGGAAAAAUUAGAGUGUUUAAAGCAAGCUAACGCUUGAAUACAUUAGCAUGGAAUAAUGAAAUAGGACGAUCGAUCCUAUUUUGUUGGUUUCUAGGAUUGACGUA
rnacentral:rRNA from 1 species